GCCCUCGUAGCUCAGCGGACAGAGCACCGGAUUCCGGAUCCGGGGGCCGCUGGUUCGAUCCCAGCCGGGGGCAC
rnacentral:tRNA from 1 species